UACGGAGGGGGCUAGCGUUGUUCGGAAUUACUGGGCGUAAAGCGCGCGUAGGCGGACCUGCAAGUCGGGGGUGAAAGCCCGAGGCUCAACCUCGGAACUGCCUUCGAUACUGCGGGUCUCGAGUCCGGGAGAGGUGAGUGGAACUGCGAGUGUAGAGGUGAAAUUCGUAGAUAUUCGCAAGAACACCAGUGGCGAAGGCGGCUCACUGGCCCGUAACUGACGCUGAGGCACGAAAGCGUGGGGAGCAAACAGG
rnacentral:rRNA from 1 species